ensembl:snRNA U11 spliceosomal RNA
UAAAAAUACUUUUGCUGUAAGUAGCACACACAGAAGGGCAGCUGUGCCUUAGUCUUUUUCUGUGUGGAAUUGCUGUCAAAAGAUUUAGAAAGCAUCGUUUUUGUUCUUGGGGCAGCUGGUAUUUGCUUAUUCUGCCUCCCCU